rnacentral:rRNA from 1 species
GACGCUGGCGGUAGGCUUAACACAUGCAAGUCGAGCGAGAAAGUAUCUUCGGAUAUGAGUAGAGCGGCGGACGGGUGAGUAACGCGUAGGAAUCUACCUAGUAGAAGGGGAUAGCCCGGGGAAACUCGGAUUAAUACCGUAUACCUCCUAAGGGAGAAAGAGGGCCUCUCUUGAAGCUCUCGCUACUAGAUGAGCCUGCGUAAGAUUAGCUUGUUGGUAAGGUAAUGGCUUACCAAGGCUACGAUCUUUAGCUGGUCUGAGAGGACGAUCAGCCACAUUGGGACUGAGACACGGCCCAGACUCCUACGGGAGGCAGCAGUGGGGAAUAUUGGACAAUGGGCGCAAGCCUGAUCCAGCCAUACCGCGUGUGUGAAGAAGGCCUUCGGGUUGUAAAGCACUUUAAGCAGGGAGAAAAAGCAAUAAGUUAAUACCUUAUUGCCGUGAUGUUACCUGCAGAAUAAGCACCGGCUAAUUCCGUGCCAGCAGCCGCGGUAAUACGGAAGGUGCAAGCGUUAAUCGGAAUUACUGGGCGUAAAGCGCGCGUAGGUGGUUUGUUAAGUUGGAUGUGAAAGCCCUGGGCUCAACCUAGGAACUGCAUCCAAAACUAACUCACUAGAGUACGAUAGAGGGAGGUAGAAUUCAUAGUGUAGCGGUGGAAUGCGUAGAUAUUAUGAAGAAUACCAGUGGCGAAGGCGGCCUCCUGGAUCUGUACUGACACUAAGGUGCGAAAGCGUGGGUAGCGAACAGGAUUAGAUACCCUGGUAGUCCACGCCGUAAACGAUGACAACUAGCUGUUGGGAGACAAUGUCUUUCAGUGGCGCAGCUAACGUUUUAAGUUGUCCGCC